AUUGAACGCUGCGGCAGGCCUAACACAUGCAAGUCGAGCGGUAGAGAGGUGCUUGCAUCUCUUGAGAGCGGCGGACGGGUGAGUAAUGCCUAGGAAUCUGCCCUAGUGGUGGGGGAUAACGUUCGGAAACGGACGCUAAUACCGCAUACGUCCUACGGGAGAAAGCGGGGGAUCUUCGGACCUCGCGCCAUUAGAUGAGCCUAGGUCGGAUUAGCUAGUUGGUGAGGUAAUGGCUCACCAAGGCGACGAUCCGUAACUGGUCUGAGAGGAUGAUCAGUCACACUGGAACUGAGACACGGUCCAGACUCCUACGGGAGGCAGCAGUGGGGAAUAUUGGACAAUGGGCGAAAGCCUGA
rnacentral:rRNA from 1 species